rnacentral:rRNA from 1 species
GUACCGUGCGAACGUUUAUUCGGAAUCACUGGGCUUAAAGGGUGCGUAGGCGGUCACUUAAGUAGGGUGUGAAAUGCCCCGGCUCAACCGGGGAAUUGCGCUCUAAACUGGGUGACUUGAGCAAGAUAGGGGUGUGCGGAACUUCCGGUGGAGCGGUGAAAUGUGUUGAUAUCGGAAGGAACACCAGCAGCGAAGGCGGCACACUGGGUCUUUACUGACGCUGAGGCACGAAAGCCAGGGUAGCGAACGGGAUUAGAUACCCCGGGUAGUCCUGGCUGUAAACGUUGAGCACUAGUUGGGGGAGGCUUCGAGCAUUCCCCCCCAACGUAGCAAAUGUGUUAAGUGCUCCGCCUGGGGAGUAUGGUCGCAAGGCUG